UUCGUCCUACGGGAGGCAGCAGUGAGGGAUAUUGGUCAAUGGGGGAAACCCUGAACCAGCAACGCCGCGUGAGGGAAGACAGCUUUCGGAUUGUAAACCUCUGUCCUCUGUGAAGAUAAUGACGGUAGCAGAGGAGGAAGCUCCGGCUAACUACGUGCCAGCAGCCGCGGUAAUACGUAGGGAGCGAGCGUUGUCCGGAUUUACUGGGUGUAAAGGGUGCGUAGGCGGCCCUGCAAGUCAGAAGCGAAAUCCAUGGGCUUAACCCGUGAACUGCUUUUGAAACUGCAGGACUUGAGUGGAGUAGG
rnacentral:rRNA from 1 species